rnacentral:lncRNA from 1 species
CCUCAAGACACCUGGGGUACAGCCCUGGAGUCUGCAGUGCACCCCUGCAGGACGAGGUCCGAAUACAAACCUCGUGGGUCUGAGGCAGCAGCAGCAGCCGCCCUCCGCACCGUGCUGCAGCCCUAAGGCACACCCUGGGGUUCGGGCCUGGGAUCCGAGGGGAACCCGGCUGCAUCCACAGCCAGAAGCCCAGUUCGAGUUCCAGGCUCACCGAGUCCCUAAGACUUUCUGGAAGUUUGGAGAGAGUUCCCUAAAGGGCAAGAAAAAAAGGCAUCGCAGCCUUGGGUAACUUGGAUGCCAUCCUGAAGCUGCCGUUUUCUAAACACAGUCAUGAACCUAUGGCUGCCCUUCCUGUUUUCACUUCCUACCCCAAGAGGAGGAGCAGAGAGACACCCGGAUCUCCACUCUCUCACCCACAGAACACGCUCCCUGGCUCCUGUCACAGAAAAAGAAUUUUCAGGUCAUGUCGAACCACCUUCGCUUGAGAAAGCGCGCGUCGAUAGUGACCAGCUGAGGACACCGGUGUCGCUAGAGCAGAGGCGGCGCCCCGCGGGGCAGUUUUUCUGGUG